rnacentral:rRNA from 1 species
GCACACACAGCGACUGGGGUGAAGUCGUAACAAGGUAACCGUAGGUGAACCUGCGGUUGGAUCACCUCCUUUCUAGA